UUCCCCCCAUGCUGACGUUUCAAACAGGUGGUGCUUACAAGGUAACACCAGGGUAACCUGAGGGCAACGCCUAACACACAAGCCUGAAGCGUUAUGCUACAAGUUAAAUAUUAAAUCGGUAAUAAAUAAAAGCAGCUGCAGAUUCCAAGUCUCGAGGCAGAGUUUCUUGUUAAACAGCCUGACAGACGGGAGCAGUCAUCUGUUUCACUGAGCCUGGACCCUUUACACACAAGCACAGACCAGAGUGGCCGAAGGGGUCUGUGUCUACCUGAGCAACAAGCUGGACUUCAUUUUUAGCUUCAGUGGCACAGAGCCAGCCCCCCAAAAUGUGCUUCGGGUAAAAAUCCACCUGUGAAGCCUGUUUCACUUCAAAUUAAUAGCUGAAGAGAGACAGGAAAUGUGGG